rnacentral:lncRNA from 1 species
GUGCUCCGCAGGGCGCAGCUUUAUACGACCGCAGAGGUCGAACCCUGAACAGUUGGGGCAAGUAUGGACAAAACAUUCAAGCGUGAUACAGCUCUGAACUUGGAUUGUUAUCAAAUUUUUGACAUUACAUGUUUUUUUUUACACAAAACAAAUGUCAAGAUUUUACAAAUCAAUUAAAGAUUUCUUCUUCAAACUUAUUUAAAUCUAAAAUUAAAUAGUUGACACAGCAUAGGUUUCUGACACAGAAUGAAUGUGGUCUAAUGAACUUAAAAGUUUUUUUUUUGCCUUUGAGCAAUUCACUAUGCUGUUGAAUAUUAAUCCUCUCAAAAAAAUGUUUGAAGAAAUUUUCUUUUUAUUUAUGAAAUCUGAAAUGAGAAAAAUUUAACCCCCCCCCCCCAUUUUUUUUUCACAUCCCCGUUUCCCUUUUUCCAAAACUGAUAUCAAUUCAAAUUUCUAAUGGAGUUUGCAACAAUAACUAA